UACGGAGGGAGCAAGCGUUACUCGGAAUUAUUGGGCGUAAAGGGCGCGUAGGCGAUCUGAAAAGUUCUGUGUGAAAGCCCACAUGUUAACUGUGGAAGUGCACAGAAAACUGUUGGAUUUGAGUUCAGGAGAGGAAGGCAGAAUUCCCGGUGUAGCGGUGAAAUGCGUAGAUAUCUGGAGGAACACCGGUGCGAAGGCGGCAAGUCCUGGACCGGCAUUGACGCUGAGGCGCGGAAAGC
rnacentral:rRNA from 1 species